rnacentral:rRNA from 1 species
UACGUAGGCAGCAAGCGUUGUUCGGAGUUACUGGGCGUAAAGGGUGUGUAGGCGGUUCUCUAAGUCUGGUGUGAAAUCUCCCGGCUCAACUGGGAGGGUGCGCCGGAAACUGGAGAGCUAGAGUACUGGAUGGGAGAGUGGAAUUCCUGGUGUAGCGGUGAAAUGCGCAGAUAUCGGGAAGAACACCCGUGGCGAAGGCGGUUCUCUGGGACGGUACUGACGCUGAGACGCGAAAGCGUGGGGAGCGAACAGG